rnacentral:rRNA from 1 species
UACGUAGGUGGCAAGCGUUGUCCGGAUUUACUGGGCGUAAAGAGCGCGCAGGCGGUCGGAUCAGUCGAAUGUGAAAGCCCCCGGCUCAACUGGGAGGGUCAUUCGAUACUGUCCGACUCGAAGGCAGGAGAGGGAAGCGGAAUUCCCGGUGUAGUGGUGAAAUGCGUAGAUAUCGGGAGGAACACCAGUGGCGAAGGCGGCUUUCUGGCCUGUUCUUGACGCUGAGGCGCGAAAGCUAGGGGAGCGAACGGG